UACGGAGGAUGCAAGCGUUAUCCGGAAUGAUUGGGCGUAAAGCGUCCGCAGGUGGCUGUGUAAGUCUGCUGUCAAAGAGCAAAGCUCAACUUUGUAAAGGCAGUGGAAACUACACGGCUAGAGUGCGUUCGGGGCAGAGGGAAUUCCUGGUGUAGCGGUGAAAUGCGUAGAGAUCAGGAAGAACACCGGUGGCGAAGGCGCUCUGCUAGGCCGCAACUGACACUGAGGGACGAAAGCUAGGGGAGCGAAUGGGAUUAGAA
rnacentral:rRNA from 1 species